rnacentral:rRNA from 1 species
UACGGAGGGUGCGAGCGUUGUCCGGAAUCACUGGGCGUAAAGGGCGCGUAGGUGGCGCGGGCAGUCAACGGUGAAAGUUCGGGGCUCAACCCUGAAUCGGCCGUCGAUACUCCCGGGCUUGAGCACUGUAGAGGCUAAUGGAAUUCCGGGUGUAGCGGUGGAAUGCGUAGAGAUCCGGAAGAACACCGGUGGCGAAGGCGGUUAGCUGGGCAGUUGCUGACACUGAGGCGCGACAGCGUGGGAGCAACAGG